rnacentral:tRNA from 1 species
AGCCGACGUAGCUCAGCUGGCAGAGCAGCUCACUCGUAAUGAGCAGGUCUGGGGUUCGAUUCCCCACGUCGGCUU